UUGGAUGAGGUGAUCCUUGUUUGUGGAUCCACACGUAUCCCAGCUUUCCAGGAGCUUGUUAAAUCAUUGACUGGUAAAGACCCAAAUGUUACAGUGAAUCCUGAUGAAGUUGUUACUCUUGGUGCUGCAGUUCAGGCUAGUGUUUUUUCUGGGGAUGUGAGUGACAUUAUUCUCCUGGAUGUCUCACCAUUCUCUUGGACUGGAAACAUUGGGAGGUGUGAUGACCAAGAUCAUCCCGAGAAAUAGCACAUUGCAACUUCAAAAUCAGAGGUGUUCUCUACAGCUUCAGAUGGACAGACAAGUGUUGACAUAAAUGUACUACAAGGUGAAAGAGAGUUUCUGAGAGACAAUAGGUGAUGACCAAGAUCAUCCCGAGAAAUAGCACAUUGCAACUUCAAAAUCAGAGGUGUUCUCUACAGCUUCAGAUGGACAGACAAGUGUUGACAUAAAUGUACUACAAGGUGAAAGAGAGUUUCUGAGAGACAAUAGGUCACUCAGAAGCUUCCGUCUAGAUGGUGUUCCUCCAGCCCCACGCGGUGCCCCUCAGAUUGAAGUCAAGUUUGACAUUGAUGCAGAUGGUAUUUUGUCUGUUGCCGCUAAUGACAAGGGUACUGGAAAGAAGUAGGACAUUACGAUUACUGGUGCUAGUACACUACCUGGUGAUGAGGCAUUCAAGUUGAUCGUGGCUGAUCCUGAUACCAUUCUUGAUUCCCUCACACGUGAAGUCAAAGAAGUUGGCCCUGAUGGACAAGAGGUUAAUUGAAUGAUGCUCUGUUAUGAGAUCAGAAAGGUUGGAGAAUCCCUUGGCAAUUUCUGUAAGUUUCAAUUGAACUGCAGUGGGCUUGGCAUCAGCCUUUGUGAACCUUCUCGAUUACAAGUUAAGUUUUCUUCACUUAAAUACUUGAUUGAUUUUCUGUUUCUUACAAUUGUGUACUCAGUUCUGGUGAGAGAGCUUAUUAUCUUUGGUAGGUUGCGGGACCAAAGAUAGUACCAACUUAUGAAGCUUAUGGACUUUUCCCGCUGAAAGUACAUUAACUGGGAGGAUGUUUCCAUCUAUUUCAAAAGCAGUUGGAGUGGAUACAGGUGUUUUGGAGCUUAAAGAAAUAGGAAGACAAUCGGAAAUGUUGUUCUCACUAGAGAUAUCAGUUUAUACUUGCGAGGGGGUUUGCAUCAACAUGUGUACCUGCUAUAUUACAUGGAUUGCCUACAUCGAGUUUUCUGAUGCUCAAGCUUUCAACAAACCAAGCCUGCAAAGGGUAUAAAGCUUAGUUGCGUUUAUUUGAAUCAUCAGAAAGGGUGGAGAACAAAGCAGAUAAGAUUUGUAAGUUCCAUGUAUUCAAGUAUUGUAGGCGGUUAGUAAGUUUCUAUGUGUUUGGAACCUUCCAUGUGUUCCCUUAGAAAUUUGAUACUUAACAAAAAAAAAAAAAGUUUGGUACUUGAGAAAUUUUAGUUCUUUUGUAGUUUAUCUAACUGUUCAGUUCUUUCGUAAUAUAAAUCUGAACAGAAUGAAAGUGAUAUGAAUAUAUUGAAGAAAUUGUUGUUGAGUGUGGAUGAUGAAUGUAU